rnacentral:misc_RNA from 1 species
AAGUCGUAACAAGGUUUCCGUAGGCGUAAAAAACCCCCCCCCCGUGAACAUUCAAUCCUGCUCUUGUAACCCGCGUAGUUCGCAAUCUCUGGUAAAUCAUAGCCCGGAAAGUAGUUUUGAUUCAGAGACCUCUGGCUACGUGAGAGCGGUAGUUUCAUAGGCAUUGUUUCCCCAAACAGUCAGUGUCUGAAAGUGUCACUGAUUGUGCAAGGAUAGCGCUUCAACGAUUCCUGUAGACCGUACACUCGGGCAGGAGCUAUGCCAAAGGGUCCGCAUGCCCCCUUAUAACCCCACAGUUUAAUGUGAAGCUCAAUGUAAUACAUUGGGUAAAAAAACCGAACAACUGUUAACAAUGGAUAUCUUGGUUCUC